rnacentral:rRNA from 1 species
GACGAACGCUGGCGGCGUGCUUAACACAUGCAAGUCGAACGGAAAGGCCCUGCUUUUGUGGGGUUCUCGAGUGGCGAACGGGUGAGUAACACGUGAGUAACCUGCCCUUGACUUUGGGAUAACUUCAGGAAACUGGGGCUAAUACCGUAUAGGAGCUCCUGCUGCAUGGUGGGGGUUGGAAAGUUUCGGCGGUUGGGGAUGGACUCGCGGCUUAUCAGCUUGUUGGUGGGGUAGUGGCUUACCAAGGCUUUGACGGGUAGCCGGCCUGAGAGGGUGACCGGCCACAUUGGGACUGAGAUACGGCGCAGACUCCUACGGGAGGCAGUAGUGGGGAAUCUUGUACAAUGGGAGGAAGCCUGAUGAAGCAACGUCGCGUGCGGGAUGACGGCCUUCGGGUUGUAAAACGCUUUCGCCUGUGACGAAGCGUGAGUGACGGUAAUGAGUAAAGAAGCACCGGCUAACUACGUG